GAUGAAGAACGUAGCAAAAUGCGAUAAGUAAUGUGAAUUGCAGAAUUCAGUGAAUCAUCGAAUCUUUGAACGCACAUUGCGCCCGCCAGUAUCCUGGCGGGCAUGCCUGUUCGAGCGUCAUUUCAACCCUCAAGCACAGCUUGGUGUUGGGACUCGCGUUAAUUCGCGUUCCCCAAAUUGAUUGGCGGUCACGUCGAGCUUCCAUAGCGUAGUAGUAAAACCCUCGUUACUGGUAAUCGUCGCGGCCACGCCGUUAAACCCCAACUUCUGAAUGUUGACCUCGGAUCAGGUAGGAAUACCCGCUGAACUUAAGCAUAUCAAUAAGCGGAGGA
rnacentral:misc_RNA from 1 species